CAGCUAGUUGGUGGGGUAAGAGCCUACCAAGGCGAAGACGGCUAGGGGGCGUGAGAGCGUGACCCCCCACAAGGGAACUGAGAGACGGUCCCUACUCCUACGGGAGGCAGCAGUGAGGAAUAUUGAGCAAUGGGCGCAAGCCUGACUCAGCAACGCCGCGUGGAUGAAGAAGGCCUUCGGGUUGUAAAAUCCUUUUCUGCGGGAAGAUAAUGACGGUACCGCAGGAAUAAGUUCCGGCUAACUACGUGCCAGCAGCCGCGGUAAAACGUAGGGGACAAGCGUUAUCCGGAUUUACUGGGCGUAAAGCGCCCGUAGGCGGCUUAACAAGUUGGAUGUGAAAUCUCCCGGCUUAACUGGGA
rnacentral:rRNA from 1 species